UAACAAUGAUUUGGUCCGAUUGUA
rnacentral:siRNA from 1 species